AGAGUUUGAUCCUGGCUCAGGAUAAAACGCUGGCGGCGCACAUAAGACAUGCAAGUCGACGAACUUAACCCUUUGUUUACAUUGGGAGCGGUUAGUGGCGGACUGGUGAGUAACACGUAAGCAACCUGCCUAUUAGAGGGGAAUAACAGUGAGAAAUCAUUGCUAAUACCGCAUAUGCUCACAGUAUCACAUGAUACAGUGAGGAAAGGAGCAAUCCACUAAUAGAUGGGCUUGCGUCUGAUUAGCUAGUUGGUGGGGUAACGGCCUACCAAGGCGACGAUCAGUAGCCGGACUGAGAGGUUGAACGGCCACAUUGGGACUGAGAUACCGGCCCAGACUCCUACGGGAGGCAGCAGGUCGGGAAUAUUGCGCAAUGGGAAGGAAACUCUGACGCAGUGACGCCGCGUAUAGGAAGAAGGUUUUCGGAUUGUAAACUAUUGUCGUUAGGGAAGAUAAAAGACAGUACCUAAGGAGGAAGCUCCGGCUAACUAUGUG
rnacentral:rRNA from 1 species